UACGUAGGGUGCAAGCGUUGUCCGGAAUUAUUGGGCGUAAAGAGCUCGUAGGCGGUUUGUCGCGUCGAAUGUGAAAUCCCGGGGCUCAACCCCGGGUCUGCAUUCGAUACGGGUAGACUAGAGUUCGGUAGGGGAGUCUGGAAUUCCUGGUGUAGCGGUGAAAUGCGCAGAUAUCAGGAGGAACACCAAUGGCGAAGGCAGCUCGCUGGGACGGUACUGACGCUGAGACGCGAAAGCGUGGGGAGCAAACAGG
rnacentral:rRNA from 1 species